AAAUUGAAGAGUUUGAUCAUGGCUCAGAUUGAACGCUGGCGGCAGGCCUAACACAUGCAAGUCGAACGGUAACAGGAAACAGCUUGCUGUUUCGCUGACGAGUGGCGGACGGGUGAGUAAUAUCUGGGAAACUGCCCGAUGGAGGGGGAUAACUACUGGAAACGGUAGCUAAUACCGCAUAACGUCGCAAGACCAAAGAGGGGGACCUUCGGGCCUCUUGCUAUCGGAUGUGCCCAGAUGGGAUUAGCUAGUAGGUGGGGUAACGGCUCACCUAGGCGACGAUCCCUAGCUGGUCUGAGAGGAUGACCAGCCACACUGGAACUGAGACACGGUCCAGACUCCUACGGGAGGCAGCAGUGGGGAAUAUUGCACAAUGGGCGCAAGCCUGAUGCAGCCAUGCCGCGUGUAUGAAGAAGGCCUUCGGGUUGUAAAGUACUUUCAGCGGGGAGGAAGGGAGUAAAGUUAAUACCUUUGCUCAUUGACGUUACCCGCAGAAGAAGCACCGGCUAACUCCGUGCCAGCAGCCGCGGUAAUACGGAGGGUGCAAGCGUUAAUCGGAAUUACUGGGCGUAAAGCGCACGCAGGCGGUUUGUUAAGUCAGAUGUGAAAUCCCCGGGCUCAACCUGGGAACUGCAUCUGAUACUGGCAAGCUUGAGUCUCGUAGAGGGGGGUAGAA
rnacentral:rRNA from 1 species